rnacentral:tRNA from 1 species
AAUAUAUUUGGCAGAAAAUUGCAUUAGACUUAGAAUCUAAUA